rnacentral:rRNA from 1 species
AGGUAGUAAUUUUAAAUAAAACCUAAUUAUAAAUGGCGGCUUUCAUACUAUUAGAGGAACUUGUCAGUUAAUCGAUAAUCCACGCUAACUUUUACUUUAAUAUAAAAUUUAUAUAUCGCCAUCUUAAGAAAUUUUUCUAAUAAUUUUUCUCAAUAAUAUAUAAUAAGUUAGGUCAAGGUGUAGUCAAUAUUAAAGAUAUGGUGAGUUACUCUAAAUAAAAUUUAAGGAAUUUAAUAAAAAUAUUAUUAGAAAAAGAAUUUAUAAGUAAACUUUUAAUAUUAAUUCAACAUGAAAAAAAUUUACAAAGUGU